rnacentral:rRNA from 1 species
UACGUAGGGUGCAAGCGUUGUCCGGAAUUAUUGGGCGUAAAGGGCUCGUAGGCGGUUGGUCACGUCGGGAGUGAAAACUCAGGGCUCAACCCUGAGCGUGCUUCCGAUACGGGCCGACUAGAGGUAUGCAGGGGAGAACGAAUUCCUGGUGUAGCGGUGGAAUGCGCAGAUAUCAGGAGGAACACCGGUGGCGAAGGCGGUUCUCUGGGCAUUACCUGACGCUGAGGAGCGAAAGUGUGGGGAGCGAACAGG